GCAGCUGCACCGUCCCCCUUCUGCCCACCCAAGAGGAAGAGGGUGACGUAUGAGCUGAGACAAACGGCUGAGUGGGACUGAAAGCCUUACCAGAAAUGAAGCGGGGUGGCUGCAGAGGACAAGAAAAGGCGAUGCAUCUUUGAGUUGUUCUGCUGAGCCUGCUCCUCUCUGAAGCGAUGCUCUGUAGAUGUUGGCUUAUUCAAGAAGCAGGCUCCAUCUUCAUAGACAUUAUGCAACCAAAGAAGCAACUCAUUCAACGUUCCCACACUCCCAGGCACGUUGCACCCAUGGGGAAACUGAAUCCGUCUUUCUGGCUGGAGAAAACAGCUCACAGUGACCAGUCCCAAGGGAAAGAAUGAAAUGAGUGUUUCUAAGUUUCCAGUUAAUCGUGUUUACUGAAGAAUACAUAACAUUAGAAUGCCUUGAGCUUUGGCCA
rnacentral:lncRNA from 1 species